AAAAAGAUGGAAGAGUCGUAAGUUAGCGUAGACAAGCAGCAAUGUUUGUAAGGGUCCAGAUUAUAACUUUACUGAACAUAUUAUUAGGAACAUGUACUUUACAUAGAUACAUCAUCAGUACAGGUCACGGUAUACAUUCCUGACACUUUAUUUCCAUCUCAGGGGAUAAAUGCCAGAUGACUUACCCUGUAAGUAAGAUAUACAGAAUACUUUAACAGGAACAUUAUUAUAUCACAGUCGAUGUUGAAGUGUAAGAAAUUCCAGGAUUAGUGAAUACAUGAGGAUGGGUAAUGCUGAAAUACAUGAAUUAGACUUCAGUGGACUACUCUGACUCAUUUCCAAAUUCACAGCGACUAUAGUAAGAAGACAGAUUAAAAAAAAAAUAAAAAAUUUAUAGUUUAGAACACUGCACUGUCCUGCAAAAUUCAACCCCUGCUCCCCCUCAAUGAGCUGAGUAACUUUAAUCCCAGCGUUCCCCAAGUGACCUCCAGUAGUAUAUUCUUUCUUUUCUGACUCUCCAACUUUAGAUUUGCAUCUGAUUUGUUAAGUACUAGGCACGCAAAGCUGUAACUAAAAUCCACUGGGACUAUGCAUGUAGCACUUUGAAAAAAUCAGAAGCAUUUCAUAGUGAGCAGCAAAGUGGAAGGAGUUUUUUUUCCUUGCAUUUUCUGCACGUUAGAUCCUGACCCAAUUUAGGAAUGCCUACGGAUUAUUCAUCUGUGGCUCCAGAGAGAAGAAAACAUUUGUGAAGCACUCUGGUAGUAUGGUGAGAAGUGCCCCACCGAAUCUCAUAAGUAAAUUAAAUUCUGUUGUCUUAAGGGUUUAGGUGAGGUUCAUGAAGCAUGCAAUAAACAUUGCCACAUAUCAGACAAUAAGUAUAUUAUGUUUUAAUAUGUAUUGAUACAGCAAGUGUUGUCCAUCUCAUAAGUAUCUGAAGUCUAUUCAUGCAAUUAGUGUUUCCAAAGGCAUAUGUGUAAGGGAGCUGAAUUGGAAUAGCAGAGGCAACCUUAAUUCCGUCAUUUCAUGGCGUAGGAUUGCUUUACUUUGCAAGCUUGUGUUCAACAAAACAAAAUCUAUCCUACCAAAAAAAUAAAAGGAGUGACCUUGCACAAUACUGGCACCCACGCUGCUUAUUAGCCCAGCUGAAGUCUGUAGCAGUGGACAGCUGUCUGCUACCUGAACUAGUGGGGUAAUAGGAGCAGUAGGUAGUCCUGUUUUAUAUGCAGCAAUAAUAAAAGGUGAUGAAAUGCAGACUUUGCUGAGCAGUGUUUGAUGGAUGGAAGCUUUCCAAUAGGCAAGGCCAAAACUAGUCAUUACUAUAAGAGGAAAAGAGAAACUCUGUCAUGUUAAGUCAGGUACGUGUAUUGCAGUCUGUCAGAGCUAAUGUGCUGGCAGGUGGUAACUACAGACAUUUUAUGGUCCUUCCCUUCUCCCCCAAAUCUGCUGGGAGGGAAUUACAGCAUUUGGCACUUUUGGGCUCCUUUCUAGACCCCAGAAAACAGCAUGCUCUACCGAGCCCGAAUGUAUACCUGUUUCUUCUUGAAACUAAACUGCUUUUCCCCAUUUCCUCAGCCUCUUGCCAUCUCUCUUUCGGUCUUCCUUUCCUCCUUGUUUCUGUUCCUUCCUCCUUUUGUGUCCUGCACCAGUUUCCACUCUGCAGACUCUUUAUCAGGCUGAAUAACUGUCCAGUCUCCACAUUCCACAACUCUUUGCCCACAGACCCUGGCAACCUUGAUCCUGGAUGCUCAUUCAGUCUUGCUCUUCCCUUCUGCAAAAACAGCUCCAAAUUCCCAUGCCUUACCCAAAGGUUCCUUUUCCCUUCCUGCUCCCCUCAUGCUUUUCACACAGCCUUUUCUUUUUUUUUCCCCCUCCAUUUGCCUAUUUCCCCAGUUCUUUCCAUUCUCAGCCUUCUUAGACUCCUGCUCUUAGUACCUGUUUCUUUUCUCACCUCUUUCACCCCUUAUUCCCAUGUGCCAGGGUGACCAGCUAUUUUUGUCCUACUCCAGCCCUGACUCCCCUCCACCAUGGCAUUCACCCUUCAGCACUAGUCAGAGGCACGCUCCUCCGCGAUCCCUGAAUGCCAGCUGAGGAGGAAAGAGAAACAACAGGAAUAGAAUCCCUGCUCCUUGCUGUCGAGAGAUCCUGAGUACCAGCUCCCAGCCUGCCAAAUUCAUUGUUCACAGCUUUUUCGGGCAGAGAUGACUGAGGCAGGAAACCAGCUGGAAUACUCCUGGAGAAAACAGAAGGUGACCUUCUGGUCCAAGGAACAAGAGGACAAUCUAUGGUUAAGAGAACCCUGGAGCUAGAAUGAAACAGCUUCUUUGCCACAGGCAUUUGGAAAGUAAUGGAUUGCUGCACAAUGUCCAGGUUAUCUACAAAUACAAUUGAGCAAACAAAGUAAAUGAUCAAGAGGCUGGAUUAGGCAGGAGGACUAACUGUAAGCAAGAGCAGCAUUGUUAAGUUUGUUGUGUUGCAGAAUAUGUGAUUAAGAUGCCUGUCUUUUUUUCCAGAAAUAAAGCUGCCAAUAGGAGCAGAAAAAAAUGUUUCUGGUGUUCUUUUUAUUUCCCUUUUUCUAUAUGGUAAGUCCUAACUCCAUUUCAUCUUCAAGACUUUAGAUGAUACUUUUUUUUUUUCUUCCAUUUUUCCCCUUUGCUGAUCAGUUAACUCCACUUAGUUAAAAUCUAGCAGAUGAAUUGUCUCCAUUUUCUUAUAAGAAUGCUAAAACUAAAAGGAAGGGGACAACGGGAAAAAGGCAUGUUCAAAUGUAAGCCUUACCUACUAUUUUGACUUCAGAGGUGUUCCCUUUUUCUGUCUACAAUACUGCAAAAAUCGCACAUCUUGUUUAACAAUGAAUGCAUUUUCAUGAGUAGUUUAAUUCUGCACUGGAGCGUACUUUUGAAGUCCACUUGUGGUGCUUCAGUGCGUACACAGCAGAACCACCACUAAUUAUGUGAACAGGAUUCCUCUAAAAUGGAACUGAACUGAAAAGGCAGCACAAGAGUACGCUCUGACAGAAUAAGUUUUAGCACCCAUGAUGGGAUGGUGCUGGCUCUUACAUGUUGAAACCAGCUGUUUGCUUCCCCUUCUAUAAGGUUCUUGUUUGGCUGACCAGCUGGGGACUCGAUUUGGGAUAAGUUAUAUCAACUACGAAUAACCCACAGAAAUAUCAGUGAGCCUAAAAAUCUUCAAGAUGCAGAGGGCAGGCAAAAGAUGUCAAACAUUGGUGAGAGGUGGAAGAUGAGGAGAUUAGACCCACUUGCAAGCAAAGCUGCUGAUUUCUGGCACCUGUAGAAAAAUCUUCCUUUCUGCAGGUCACUGCUAUGUGUGUAGAUUAGGAAACCUUUCCUCAGUACUGUUCUUGGCAGGUCUGGGUUGAUCAGCAGGUCAGUUCUGGUUCAGGAUUGCAAACAGUAUGUUGGCCCCCCUCCAUAUGAGGCAGCAGAACGUGCCAGGUAGCUUGCAAGAUGCUGUGUGGUUGUAAUAGCCAGACCAGCACCUUUAAUUCUUUGGGACUGUACUUUUUUUUUUUUUUUUUUUUUUUACAGUUUUUAUACUCUAAGUCUGAAAUUUGUUUUUAAUACUGUUUAAUACUGUACAGCCUAAAUAAUGGACCCCAUUCUAGUUUUAGUCUUUGUUUCAAAUGUGUACGAUGUAAAAAAGUCAAAACACUGUAUUUAAAUCAGAGGCGCCUGAAAUCCCCGUAGUUUAUUCAGCAAUGUGCUGUUACAAUCUCCAUUUGUCUACUGAGAAAGUGUCCUGCCCUUUAGGGCUACCCAAAUUUUUGUUCUCUUUUGCUCUUCCUCUCCUCCUUCCUCUUUCUCAUUCUGUCCUGUCUUUAUUUUUUUUUUCCCCCCAAUAGGUAUAAAUUUUAAGAAGUUUUCAAUGACAUCUUUUGGCUAUUUCAGAUCACACCUAAGUGAAUACUCUUAUUGUGAAUCAAGAGAGUUCAUUCAGAAUAUUUUUGCAAAGAUAAUUCAGCGUUCUCUAGAAAAGAAUGUAAGAAGUUGCAAAGUCCUUUGCAAAUCUGCGAAGUAUUAGCUGCAGGCAAUAAAAAUAACUUUCUUCCUGAAUCCGUGCACACACCUGAAAUGGAGGAAGUCAAGAAAAAGCAGAGCUUUGCCUGUUCGAACACAAUUUCCAGCUUUUUGAAAUGCAUUUCAUUUUUGCCCCCUCCUAUGAAGUGGUCGUCAGCGCCAGUUUUGUUACCAAGAGGCUUAAAGCCAUAAGUCACAAUAAAAGGGCUGUAAGCUAAGCUGCAAUGAAACUGGCAUUAAAAGAAAGGCUCGUGACAGGUUCAGGAACUCUUCUCACUCUCACGUUGCUCUAGAGUGGUGCUUGGCACUUUGUAUAUAAUAGCGUAAUGCUUUACUACCUAUCCAUUAAGUGGGAAAGCUGGAGCCAGUCCUCUCUGCCUGACUGCCUACAUGACUUGCAUGAGUACCAAACCAUAGACUAGGCUGUUUUGCAUGCCCUUAAGCCUUCUGUCUGAAGUUAUGUCUUCAGUUGAAUGCAAUUAUGAGACACUGAGGUAGGGAGAAAGGAGAGGGAAAGGUGCAACUCUAGCCUCUUGUUUGGUAAACGUUUUGGGUACGCAGGGAAAAGAGAUGUGAGUGGGCUCCCAGCUCCUGAUCCCAAGACUUUUAACGCACAUUAUAAAGACUCACUGAGACUUGAUGCAACUGUGCAUGGAACGUUUCCAACGAUGCCCACAAAUCUUGGGCUCAAUCUAUUGACUGCAGUGGGCAUCUCUUCUUACCAUUAAGAUGGUAAUUACUGCUGUUCGUUUCAAAGCAGUAAGAGAUUUUGUUUACCCGUAGGACACCAAGCAGAAAACAGAGCCCCCUGAUGUCACGUUCUAGCUUACUGCUUCCAAAAGCGAGAAGAAACUGAGAACAUGACCAACGCACAUGCCACAAACGCAUCACUCUACAGUGCGCGUCUGCCUCCGCACACACUUCCCAACACCUUUUCUGCAUCUGUUCUCGUCAGACUAGUCCCUUGUUUGGUUCAAUUGACUAGCCCGGUAGUAACCUAUCUGCUUUUUCUGGUUUAGGUUUCUGCCAGGCAAGUAAAUUGAAUCAGCCCGUAAUUACAGUGCCAGAGACAGAUGUGGAGAAGCUGCUACAUUAACUCACGCUGACCUAUAUGCAUGUCCUAUAUGUGUUUCCUACUACUUUAGUUAAACCAAACAUUUUUUUUUUUUAAUAAAGUCUAAGUUGAGUUCAGUCUGUUGUAUCUACCGCUGAUGUAAAGAAUGUUUCAGUUCAUUUACACAGUGAUUUAAAUCAAGCAUAAACAAGCGUGGUCUAGACCACGGUUAUGAAGUGAAAUGACUCUUCUUUUAAAACGUGUGCUUUGAGUUAGCCAAAACCGCUUUACUUGGACAGCUCACGCAGUAGGUGCCGUAGGUUCACAUACGCUUUUUAGGCUCGGAGAAAAGCUCCCCCUGCCUUUCUGCGGGAUGACUAUACCAUUAAUUAUCUUUUUUUUUUUUUUUUUUUGAAACAGUUUCAUGGGCAUUCCCAGAGAUGUACGCAGACGGCGCGCGCGCACACACACGCACGCACACACCUGAACGGAUGUUUUGGGAGCCGUAACGCCCUCCCCACCGGCCGUCAGCCCGCACCGCGACCCUGAACCCCCCGCCUCGCCCGCUUCACGUGCGGCUUUCGCCCAGCUACGCGCGAGGCGCGUUAUGCUUUGCAACCCCUCCGGGCUGCAGGCGGGGCACGGAGCGCCACGCCGGCCCACCCAGCCGCUGAGGCGGCAGGGCUCCGCUCACCCUACCGGAGGCCCGGCCCCGACACGGGUGCGGCUCCAACCGACCCCAGCCCCCGUCCCGGCCCCGGCCCCGGCCCCGCUGCCCCCCGGA